GCCUUUAUGCGUCGUCCCGCUUCCUCUCCUCUACUCUGCGAGCCUCCACUCUCUCUCGUUCGCCCUCUUCUCUCUUCUGCUCUACCAAGCUAGGGUUGGAAAACCCCUCCUCUUGCAACAGACGAUACCACCAGUGGCAUCAUAUAUAUCAGAGCUCUCUAUUGAAUCUGAAGCAGCACGAGCUGUUCAAGAUACAAAAGUUCUUGGAGCAUCAAGAAUUCUAAUUCCAGAAACGGAUUCUCUACUAGCAUAUCAAGUAGUUGAUGAGAUCCAGAUUAGGUGAAUAUGAAUAGCCCGACCCAGUGGUUUCAGUUACUUACAAACCCCUUACCUUCGCUAUGCUUACCCCUUACCUUCGCUAUGCUUAGGUCGAUUGCUCACUGCAUUUCCUCUCACCCUCUAUUCACAACUACUCAAUACCCAAUUGCACUUUCAGAUUCAGUAACAAAAUAAUGGUGGGGAGUCCAAGGCUCAAUCCUAGAAACUUUUUGUUGAGAGUCAUCGCAAUCUUGCACUUUUGCCUAUAAACGUGGUGGCACCAUCCUUGGUACUUCAAGAGGAGGUUAUGACACCACCAAAAUAGUUGAUAGCAUUCAAGACUAAGGGAUUAAUCAGGUCUACAUAAGAGGAGGAGAUGGGACACAAACAGGAGCAUCUGUAAUAUAUAAGGAAAUUGAGAGACGUGGUUUGAAAGUGUCGGUUGCUGGAAUCCCCAAGACUGUCGAUAAUGAUAUCGCUGUUAUAGACAAGUCUUUUGGUUUUGACACUGCUGUAGAAGAAGCUCAGAGAGCCAUCAAUGCAGCACAUGUGGAAGCUGGAAGAAUUGACAAUGGUCUGGGUAUUGUGAAUCUAAUGGGUCAUUACUGUGGAUUCAUUGCCAUGUAUGCAACUCUAGCAAGCAGGGAUGUGGACUGUUGCUUGAUUCCUGAAUCUCCAUUUUACCUAGAGAGAGAAGGGGGCUUGUUUGACUUCAUAGAAAAGCAACUGAAAGAAAAUGGUCACAUGGUCAUUGUGUUAGUAGAAGGUGCAGGGCAAGAGCUUGUUGCCAAAUCCAUGCGGGCAGUUGAUCAAACUGAUGCAUCUGGGAUUCAGUUACUCCUUGACGUUGGGCUAUGGCAUGCUCAAAAUGUCAAACAUUAUCUAUUUGUCCAUUGCUCAUCGAUCUCGAAGUCGUGGGCCUGUAAGUUACUCUAAUCUUUUGAGGGCACUAAGAUACUAAAAUAUGACUUGUCUAGAAAUAUUGCAAUUGAUUUGUAUUUCAAAUCAUUUUCUGUCUUUAUUUUCAUCACUAAUUUUCUCUUUUUAACAUGAACCAUCUCUAUUUUUCAAGCAUCUAUAUAUGUUGGUGCGAAUGUUUAAAUGUGUGUUUGCAUAUGUAUUUGUGCAUGUGAGAUGAUGCUUGGGAGUGUGUAGGGGGGUCAUAGCAUGCAGGUGUAUAUGUCCAUGUGUACAAGUAUUGUCCUGUGCAGUCAGAUGACUGUUUCUUGUUUGGAUUAAUAUUAACAAGCAUAUUGAGCUCAGACAAGCUUUGAAGACUCUUAGUACAUGACAGCAGAAGUACACGAAAGUAGAAGUACACGUCACAUGGAGAAGUUCAUCACACAUUCAGUUUCAUUCUCAGAUAUCAAUAAAACUUAUUCAGUUUCAUUCUCAGAUAUCAAUAAAACUUUUGAAUACAUGCUCAAAGGGGAUAACUUUCGCUAUAUCAUUCGAAUGGGAGACUAAAACUUGAGAAAGCAAAAAGAAAUAAAUUAAUUGUUGGUGAUAGAGUCAGCUCAAUUGGAUUACCUUUUUUGAAGCUUCAUUUAUAUCUAGUUUUUUUCUAUUUCAUGAGGUGUUUAACUUCCUUGUAUCUUUUCAAUUGUUUGGAAAUGAUUGUAAUUGGUUAUUGCUUAAUUAAUGGUAAUAUCUUGUGAAUGAAAUUC